rnacentral:rRNA from 1 species
CCAGACUCCUACGGGAGGCAGCAGUGGGGGAUAUUGCACAAUGGGGGGAACCCUGAUGCAGCGACGCCGCGUGGGUGAGGAAGUACCCCGGUAUGUAAAGCCCUUUCGGCAGGGAAGAAAAUGACGGUACCUGAUUAAGAAGCCCCGGCUAACUACGUGCCAGCAGCCGCGGUAAUACGUAGGGGGCAAGCGUUAUCCGGAUUUACUGGGUGUAAAGGGAGCGUAGACGGCAUUGCAAGUCCGGAGUGAAAGCCCACGGCCCAACCGUGGGACUGCUCUGGAAACUGUAGAGCUGGAGUGCGGGAGGGGCAGGCGGAAUUCCUAGUGUAGCGGUGAAAUGCGUAGAUAUUAGGAGGAACACCGGCGGCGAAGGCGGCCUGCUGGACCGUAACUGACGUUGAGGCUCGAAAGCGUGGGGAGCAAACAGGAUUAGAUACCCUAGUAG